UACGUAGGUGGCGAGCGUUGUCCGGAUUUACUGGGUGUAAAGGGCGCGUAGGCGGGGCAGCAAGUCAGUCGUGAAAUACCGAGGCUUAACUUCGGAGCUGCGAUUGAAACUGUUGUUCUUGAGUGUCGGAGAGGAAAGCGGAAUUCCUAGUGUAGCGGUGAAAUGCGUAGAUAUUAGGAGGAACACCGGUGGCGAAGGCGGCUUUCUGGACGAUAACUGACGCUGAGGCGCGAAAGUGUGGGGAGCAAAC
rnacentral:rRNA from 1 species